rnacentral:ribozyme from 1 species
AUCCAGCAGAAUGCACUACAAAAAUAAAAGGAAAAGCAAAAAAAAGCAAAAAAAGAAAAACAUCAUUCGUACCUUCUUUACUUUUCCUCUCUCUGUUUUCUCUUCUUUCUCGCAUUUUUU